UACGUAGGGGGGCGAGCGUUGUCCGGAUUUAUUGGGCGUAAAGAGCUCGUAGGCGGUUUGGCAAGUCGGGUGUGAAAACUCCGGCUCAACUCGGAGACGCCACUCGAUACUGCCAUGACUCGAGUCCGGUAGGGGAGUGCGGAAUUCCUGGUGUAGCGGUGAAAUGCGCAGAUAUCAGGAGGAACACCGGUGGCGAAGGCGGGUCUCUGGGGC
rnacentral:rRNA from 1 species